rnacentral:rRNA from 1 species
CAGACAGUGGGGGAUAAGCUCCAUUGUCGAGAGGGGAACAGCCCAGACCACCAGCUAAGGUCCCCAAGUUCCGGCUAAGUGGGAAAGGAUGUGGGGUUGCUUAGACAGCCAGGAGGUUGGCUUAGAAGCAGCCAUUCCUUUAAAGAGUGCGUAAUAGCUCACUGGUCGAGUGACCCUGCGCCGAAAAUGUAACGGGGCUUAAGCCGGACACCGAAGCUGUGGGUGCUGCCAAAAGCAGCGCGGUAGGGGAGCGUUCCGUGCAGCGCUGAAGCGGUAGCGGAAGCCGCCGUGGAGCGCACGGAAGUGAGAAUGCCGGUAUAAGUAGCGAAAAGAAGGGUGAGAAUCCCUUCCGCCGAAAGCCUAAGGAUUCCUGAGGAAGGUUCGUCCGCUCAGGGUUAGUCGGGACCUAAGGCGAGGCCGAAAGGCGUAGCCGAUGGACAACGGGUUGAUAUUCCCGUACCACCGCGCGGGCGCUUGAGCGAUGGGGUGACGCAGAAGGGUAGGCACAGCCGGGUGCUGGACGUCCCGGUGCAAACGCGUAGAGGGUGCGGUAGGCAAAUCCGCCGCACGUAACCUCAAGGCGUGACGCCGAGGGAAAUUGAGUACCGAAGUGGCCGAUCCCACGCUGCCAAGAAAAGCCUCUAGCGAGUCCGCCGGUGCCCGUACCGCAAACCGACACAGGUAGGCGAGGAGAGAAUCCUCAGGCGCGCGAGAGAACCCCUGUUAAGGAACUCGGCAAACUGGCCCCGUAACUUCGGGAGAAGGGGCGCCCCGCUAGGGUGAGGAGGCUCGCCCUCCAAGCCCGAGGGGGCCGCAGUGAAAGGGCCCAAGCGACUGUUUACCAAAAACACAGGUCUCUGCGAAGCCGUAAGGCGACGUAUAGGGGCUGACGCCUGCCCAGUGCCGGAAGGUUAAGGGGAGGGGUUAGCCGCAAGGCGAAGCUCCGAACCAAAGCCCCGGUGAACGGCGGCCGUAACUAUAACGGUCCUAAGGUAGCGAAAUUCCUUGUCGGGUAAGUUCCGACCUGCACGAAAGGCGUAACGACUUGGGCGCUGUCUCAACA